rnacentral:rRNA from 1 species
GCCACACGUGCAGAGAGCGGAAGCCGGGAAUGGAAUCCCGGUGCAAGCGAGGUACCAGUCACAUUGGAAAAACCGUGUGGCAAUGGGAAGACGUGAUGCGGAGUGAAAAAUAGUAACGAAGUCCGUGAGCUGUGCGUCAAGAAAAGCCGCUAUUGUUCAUACCAUACCCGUACCGUAAACCGACACAGGUGGAUGAGGAGAGAAUCCUAAGGCCGGCGGAAGAAGCAUUGUCAAGGAACUCGGCAAAGUGACCCCGUAACUUCGGGAGAAGGGGUGCCACUGAAAAGUGGCCGCAGAGAAUAGGCUCAAGCAACUGUUUAGCAAAAACACAGGUCUAUGCGAAACCGUAAGGUGAGGUAUAUGGGCUGACGCCUGCCCGGUGCUGGAAGGUUAAGAGGAGAGGUUAGCGCAAGCGAAGCUUUGAAUUUAAGCCCCAGUAAACGGCGGCCGUAACAAUAACGGUCCUAAGGUAGCGAAAUUCCUUGUCGGGUAAGUUCCGACCCGCACGAAAGGCGUAAUGAUUUGAGCGCUGUCUCGACAAUGCAUCCGGUGAAAUUGAAGUACCAGUGAAGAUGCUGGUUACCUGCGCCAGGACGGAAAGACCCCAUGGAGCUUUACUCCAGUUUGGUACUGGGAUCCGGUACUGCAUGUACAGGAUAGGUGGGAGGCUGUGAAAUAGUAACGCCAGUUAUUAUGGAGCCGCUGUUGGGAUACCACCCUUGCAGUAUUGGGUUUCUAACCAGCCGCCGUGACCCGGCGGUGGGACAAUGCCAGACGGGGAGUUUGACUGGGGCGGUCGCCUCCGAAAGGGUAUCGGAGGCGCCCAAAGGUUCCCUCAGAAUGGACGGAAACCAUUCGAAGAGUGCAAAGGCAGAAGGGAGCUUGACUGCGACACCGACGGGUGGAGCAGGUACGAAAGUAGGGCUUAGUGAUCCGGUGGUAUUAAGUGGGAAUGCCAUCGCUCAACGGAUAAAAGCUACCCUGGGAUAACAGGCUUAUCACUCCCAAGAGUUCACAUCGACGGAGUGGUUUGGCACCUCGAUGUCGGCUCAUCGCAUCCUGGGGCUGUAGUAGGUCCCAAGGGUUGGGCUGUUCGCCCAUUAAAGCGGUACGCGAGCUGGGUUCAGAACGUCGUGAGACAGUUCGGUCCCUAUCCGGCGUGGGCGUAGGAUAUCUGAGAGGAGCUGUCCUUAGUACGAGAGGACCGGGAUGGACGGGCCGCUGGUGCACCGGUUAGACUGCCAAGUCUAUAGCCGGGUAGCCAAGCCCGGAAGGGAUAAACGCUGAAGGCAUCUAAGCGUGAAGCCCCCCUCAAGAUGAGAUAUCCCAUCCGAAAGGAGUAAACCCCCUUGAAGACGACGAGGUUGAUAGGGCAGAGGUGGAAGUACGUUAACGUAUGGAGCUGACUGCUACUAAUAGGGUGGGGGCUUGAC